GUCAACUUCCAGCGGACGGACACGGAGGAAAGGGCCUGGCUGCCACCAGUUGAGUCAAUGAUUCAGUGAAGAGACUAUUUGGGCAGCAGCAACAAGACAACUAUUACAAGUAGAGAUGGGUUUCAAGAACUGGUACUAAUUUGGUUCCUGACUUGUUCGGUACUGAAAACAUUUAUAUAAGCUACAGGAUCAAUAGUGCUGCUAUCAGUAUUCUUGUAACAUUGAUUCAUUACCCUUUAGACACAACCACAUAUCAUGCAAAUCAUCUCCGAGUGGAUGGCA